GGAAGUAAAAGUCGUAACAAGAUUUCCGUAGGUGAACCUGCGGAAGGAUCAUUCAUAAUAAAGUGUUUUAUGGCACUUUUUAAAAAUCCAUAUCCACCUUGUGUGCAAUGUUAGAUCUCGUCAAUCUUGGCGAGAUUGUUAUACAUCAACUCAUUCUUUAACUAAUUUGUCUGAAAAAUAUUAUGAAUACUUAAUUCAAAAUACAACUUUCAACAACGGAUCUCGUGGCUCUC
rnacentral:misc_RNA from 1 species